rnacentral:tRNA from 1 species
GUCCCUGUGGCUCAGUUGGUAGAGCAUGGUGUUUGCAACGCCAGCAUGGUGUGUGCAACGCCAGCAUGGUGUGUGCAACGCCAGCAUGGUGUGUGCAACGCCAGGGUUGUGGGUUCGAUUCCCACGGGGGGCC